UACGUAGGGGGCAAGCGUUGUCCGGAUUCAUUGGGCGUAAAGAGCGUGUAGGCGGCCAGGUAGGUCGGUUGUGAAAACUGGAGGCUCAACCUUCAGACGUCGACCGAAACCAUCUGGCUAGAGUCCGGGAGAGGAGAGUGGAAUUCCUGGUGUAGCGGUGAAAUGCGCAGAUAUCAGGAGGAACACCAAUUGCGAAGGCAGCUCGCUGGGACGUUACUGACGCUGAGACGCGAAAGCGUGGGGAGCAAACAGG
rnacentral:rRNA from 1 species